AGCUUGGUGUGACUCACAAGAUGUGCAGUGUUUCUUCUGGUCUCCCCUGCCCUGCUCCAUUCCCUGGUGAAUAUUUAUGCUCCGUAUGGCUGAAGGCCGAGGGACAAAGUGACCCCACCUUUUCAUCCUUCUGCUGUACUACUGAGCUGGCUGCAAACAAAACAUGGUGGGAUCCUUGCCAGGCAGUGGUUUGGUCCCCCUGAGGUGCUGGUGUCUCUUCUUGUAACACUUCAGAACUGAAAAAUAAGGUGUCCUGGUGAUGAUGUUAAAAGUCCUCCUGCAAAGCCAACCCUGCUACACCAACAUUAGCAGAGCAGAGGCUGUUUAGCGUUGCUUCAAGGAUGUGGUUUGGUUGCAGCUGGCUGUGCUGUGCCCUGCAUCAGCCUGCAGAGAGCCUGUGUCACGGGACAGGACACCUUUCAGCUGGAGAAGUCAGCCACUGUUCAAGCUUGACCCAGAUUCUGAGACCUUGGUCUCAUCCCUAUGACACCUCUUCUUGUCUGAUCCUCCCACAUGGAGGAAGGAGCUGCAGAAUCACUGGUCAAUCUGUUCUCCUUCGUGCCUUGUCUGUCCUCACUAAGAGAGGGAGUGAGACAUUCUGCCCCACAAGUGACUUAGGUGAACCACAGGAUCAUUUUCUCAUGGUGCCUUUGAAAAAAGGAAGGCUUUACCUUCAUUUGCUUCAGCCUUUCAAUGAUCCUUUGAGAUCCUACAUGUGUUUGGGACCAUUCCUGAACCCUGAGCUGGAAUUUUUAAAGCGCUCCCAGCAGCAACCCUGAGCAAAAUCACAGAUGACUGAGAGCAGAAGGAAACACCGCGUGCUCACGGCGUGGAGAACUGCAUGUGCAGUCCUUCCCCUAGGGAGAGCCGGGGGAGCACUGGAAUAACAAACGUCAUAAAACCUCCUGGGUGAAGAAAAAGACACCUUAAUAGCUGGAGGAGCACAAAGGCAGGAGGGGGGUAAGUGCUGCAGGGAUGAUCAUCCGCCACCAUCCACAAUCGAUGCCCAGACAGUCUCUGAGCAGCAGCUGCCAUGGACCCUGCCUCUGGUCCCACCUGCAUCCCCUCACACCCUCCCUCCACGCCCUGGGCGGUGGAGUGAGAAGCAGGGAUGGUCUUUGUGCUCUGCAGUAACCAGAACUCUGGUGUGUUAUCAAACUGAUAAAGUCACAGAUCUAAAACCCAGCACCGUACGGGCUGCUGGGAUGAAAAUUAACUCCAUCCCUGCCAUAUCCUGGGCACUGGGGUUUGGAAGGGAGAGAGCUCUGUUGGGCUCCUGUCUGUUGUCGUCAUCAGGACUGGGAGAAGAAUGAAGAGGCUGCACAAUGCUUCCUAAAAGGGCAGGAGGAAGCUACCAUUGGCUGCAGCCCAGGACAAAAAGCCAGUUUUGGCAAUUCCAGCAGUGACAGUUUGGUGGUAGUCACCCAUGAUGCACGGCACAAAACAGGAGAGAGAAAAGCAAUACAUUAUUUCUCAAGAGGAUGGAGUCUGUCCAGGCCAUGGCAGUAGCAAUCAGCUCUCCUUGCACCGCUGCUGUGCCCAGACACAGAACAACACUUUGUAAGGGAGGGUAACCUGGUGUUCUCUAGGAAACUGCCAGAGGGUUAUUUCUUAUGGAGCCCAGGUUUCGUCUGGGAAGGUUGACUGAGGGAAUGUCAAUUAAAGAGGGUGUUGGUGACCAUGUGCUGUCCCCUUCUAGCUUGAGUUUGUCUGGAUUAUGGAUGCAGGAGCAUAGUAUGUGGGAACAUUGGACAGCCAGGCAAUGUGGGGAUGGGGUUCCUUUGUUUGGUGCUGUUAGGUGAGGUCUUACUCUGAGUGAUGAGUAAGGUUGAAAAUUUAUUUGGUCAAAGGGCAGAAAGUUUCUCCUGUGUCUACUCUGUGUCACAGCUGUUAGUCUUUGAGUUAGUGCUGACUGCUGGGGGUGUCUCAAACCUCAGAAAUUGUCAGAAUUGGGUGCUAAUGGUCGUUAACCCUUGCACAGUUUUGUUUGAAAAAUGCCAAAUGCAAAGUGCUUCCAGACCAGUACACAGCAGUGAUUGUUGUCUGACAAUGCAGUAGGACAACGUGCUGGAGUUGAGAAAUCUUCAUCCAGAUAUUGUAAGGGCUCCUUGGAAGCCAAGGUGUGUCUGCUGCUCCGUCCUUUGGCUACUGGCAGAAGAGACCUCGUGCUGAGUGCAGAUUCCAUGGAUGGGGACAGCACCAGCCCAAGUGCACACAAAGAGAACAUACAGGAGAAAAGGCAGGUGUGUGGUGUGAAGCCUUGAGUGGCUGCCAGCAAGCUGAUCUCUGUAUUUAAUCACCCAGAGGAGUCCCAGGGCCUGUGUGGUUCCGUGAGGGUCCCCCGAGAUGGAAGCAUUACUGUGCCUAUAAGUCAUAUCCCUGUUUACUCCCACUGAUGCUUUAUGUAACAAUCCUCCCCUGCCUGUGGCUGCCUGUCAGAGCUGAAGUAAUGUUCCUUUUGAUGGAUGUCCUCAUGCUGGAGGAGAACUGUGGGGAUUUUGGUAUGAAAUGGCCACCAGCAGGAACAGUGACCCUGUCUGUGCUGUCUUCUAGAGCAGCAUGGAGGCUUGAAGGUGGAUGAUAAAGAUCCAGCCACUGAGCACUGCAUUUAUUUUCCUGGAUGUUUCUGUACCUGAAGUAGAAUUAUGAGAGGAAGAAUCUUUUUCUUUGGGAAAGUCUGU